GAUGAACGCUGGCGGCGUGCUUAACACAUGCAAGUCGAACGAAGCACCUUGAUUUGCUUCUUCGGAUGCAGAUCUUGGUGACUGAGUGGCGGACGGGUGAGUAACGCGUGGGUAACCUGCCUCAUACAGGGGGAUAACAGUUAGAAAUGACUGCUAAUACCGCAUAAGACCACAGCACCGCAUGGUGCCGGGGUAAAAACUCCGGUGGUAUGAGAUGGACCCGCGUCUGAUUAGGUAGUUGGUGGGGUAACGGCCUACCAAGCCGACGAUCAGUAGCCGAACGGAGAGGGUGACCGGCCACAGUGGGACUGAGACACGGCCCAAACUCCUACGGGAGGCAGCAGUGGGGAAUAUUGCACAAUGGGGGAAACCCUGAUGCAGCGACGCCGCGUGAGCGAUGAAGUAUUUCGGUAUGUAAAGCUCUAUCAGCAGGGAAGAAAAUGACGGUACCUGACGAAGAAGCACCGGCUAAAUACGUG
rnacentral:rRNA from 1 species